rnacentral:rRNA from 1 species
UACGUAGGUGGCAAGCGUUGUCCGGAUUUAUUGGGUUUAAAGGGUGCGUAGGCGGUCUUAUAAGUCAGCCGUUAAAGGUAGCCGCUUAACGGUUGUAAGGCGGUUGAUACUGUAAGACUUGAGUUCGUUGGAGGUUGUUGGAAUGCGCAGUGUAGCGGUGAAAUGCAUAGAGAUUGCGCGGAACACCAAUUGCGGAGGCAGAUAACUACGACGAUACUGACGCUGAGGCACGAAAGCGUGGGGAGCAAACAGG